rnacentral:rRNA from 1 species
CACGUAGGCACCAAGCGUUGUCCGGAUUUAUUGGGCGUAAAGAGCUCGUAGGCGGUUGAGUAAGUCGGGUGUGAAAACUCUGGGCUUAACCCAGAGCCGCCACUCGAUACUGCUCUGACUUGAGUUCGGUAGGGGAGCAGGGAAUUCCUAGUGUAGCGGUGAAAUGCGCAGAUAUCAGGAAGAACACCGACGGCGAAGGCAGCUCGCUGGGACGGUACUGACGCUGAGGCGCGAAAGCGUGGGGAGCGAACAGG